UACGUAGGGCGCAAGCGUUGUCCGGAAUCAUUGGGCGUAAAGGGCGCGUAGGUGGCCCGGUCAGUUCGUGGUGAAAGCGCGGGGCUCAACCCUGCGUCGGCCAUGAAUACUGCCGCGGCUGGAGCACUGUAGAGGCAGGCGGAAUUCCGGGUGUAGCGGUGGAAUGCGUAGAGAUCCGGAAGAACACCGGUGGCGAAGGCGGCCUGCUGGGGCAGUUGCUGACACUGAGGCGCGACAGCGUGGGGAGCAAACAGG
rnacentral:rRNA from 1 species